rnacentral:lncRNA from 1 species
UGGCGUUGUUCUGUUUUUAUUUGCAAUUCUGUGGCUUGUCGUUAUAUUAUAAUAAGUAAAACUUAUUUCAUGCAAGUGGAAGAAAAUGUUUUUAAAAGGUGAAUUUGAACACAUGGCAAUAACAUAACUUUUCACAAGGGCUUCUAUGCCACGUUUUCAGUACGUGGAAUCGAGUGUCGAAAGUAAUCAGGCAAUUACUCUGGUUUUGGUUUUGGUUUAACUACGGUUUGAGAUUGGGCUGCUAGUUUAAUUGGUUUAGAAGUAAUUGGUUUGGUUUUAGUUUUACGACACUCAAUUGAAAACCACUCUACCACUCUACCACUCUGGUCUUCAUAACAAAUAGUGUCCAAGAGCAAAUAGCUGUGCAUAUUUUUGAACCCAGUUGGAAGCUAAAUUCUAGGGCUCAUUAACAUUUUCAGCAGGAGGGUGACUGGUUUCCACAGGUGUACAAAACGUUUUGAACUGUGUUUCUCUGUAAGAAAAACUCUAUCCCAGAUGGCCAAACCAGACUGUCAAUCUGCCUUGGUGCCUGGCCCUUAAUGAAACUCCCUGUCAAUUGUUGAUGUCAUCAAAUUAUUACAUAUCCCUGAAUGCAAGUCCAGUGAUAAUAUUAUUAUAUGGCUAGCUCCUUGGCCAGACAAGAUUACUGUUAACACCGCUGGAUAAGCCGCACCUUUUUACUCAAAAUUUACCUUAAAAAUUGGGCAUGCGGCUUAUCUGCAAGAACCUCUGGACAACAUGCCAUAAAUUUGCAUAAAUUAACACUUUCUAUCAAAAAUUUAUAAGUCAGUUAAGAAAAUUAGUAAGAACUUCAGUAGACAAACAAUAUCAGAGUAUGCAUCAAUCAUUGCUAUUACAAGUUUGAUGGCUCCUAAAAGAAUUGUUUUUGUUCAUAAUCACAAGCUUACAUUUCUUGCUGUUAAACAGCCCUAAACCUUUGUUAAAAAAUCUUUUAGCCAGUGUAAAGCCGCAAUUCUAGCUCAUUCUAGAGCAGCUUUAGAAACUUACAUCGCACAGCAGGGAAUCUCCAUUCCGCCACAAAGCUGCUCAAAGAAAGCUUCAAAGGCUAUUUGUGUCCAGUACUCCAUCUCCUGAUGAAAUGCCUGGCUACUGUGUUAUGAAUGACCAAACGAAUGAAUGGAAGUGUUGUUGUUGUUGUAUGUUAAUUCUAUUGAAAAAUUGACAGGAAUGAAAAAAGAAUCCCAGUUGAAAAAUACUGGAGAAAAAUGAAACAUAUGUCAAAACUGGUAGACAUCAUGUCAGUGCUAUUGUAGAACUAAAAUUUUAGGUAAGGGUUUUAGUUUGAAGCAUUCUCUGUACUCAGUGUUAUUGAGUUUACACCGGUUUACAUUCAUUACAUGUAAAUCAAGAAAAGUACAUGAAAAGAAUGUUUCUCAAGACUUCACUUGUGAAUUAUUUUGAUUUCUUUCCAAAUUUUUUUUACCCAAAUUUGAGUUGCCAAACUCAGAAUGUGGCUUAUUUGCGAGUGCAGCUUAUCCACCAGUGGUUACGGUAACCAAAUCCUGCACUGUGAUUGGCUAUCCCAGCAGGCAAGAUGGCACUAUCUUGCCACUCACAACAGAAAAUUGUUCUUUUUCCCAAAUAAUGAUUCCCAUGUUUACCAACAGCUUGUUCAAUCAAGAUGGCUGAGUAUUGGCCUUGUUCAUUUUGUGUUUAUGGACCUUGACUCCAUUUUGGUCCAUGAACAUGCAAAGAAAGAACUUGGCAUAUCCAGUUACCUUGACCUCACACUUGGUCAAUAACCCAUAUGUAAUUGGACUUGAUGAAGCACAAUUCAGGGUGUAAUCAGUUUUAUUCUAGGUGGUCUGGUUUGAGUAGUCGCACUGUAAGCAGAAAGCCAGUAAAGUGCAAAAUGAAACAAAGCAGACUAAAAGGAGUCCAGAUUUUCAAGACAAGACAUGAUGAUAUCAACAUGGAAACAAUUAUUGUACAAAACAGGAGCAACAAUGAAAGAUGUGCUGAGACUUGAGAGGAGAAAGAAUUACGUUGAGGCAUUGGAUUCCAUAUUAAAUACAAACCAGAAAGCCAUGUGCUUAGACUUAUAGGGAGAAAGAUUCAUAUCAAGACAUUAGAUUCCAUAUCAGACACAAAACAGAGAGGCAAGGAAAAGAGCUAUGAAUCAAGUUGAGACAUUGGAUCCCUUAUUAGG